rnacentral:lncRNA from 1 species
CGCCAGCAGAAGAUGCGAUCUUUUAUGGGCUUCAAAUUUUCUUCAAAUCGAGACCAAAUUCGCUAUUUUUCGGCAAGAGAGCAUUGCCGCUUAAAACCGAUGAAAUAGCGGAUGAAGCGACCGAGAGGUUUACAACUGAAGAUAUCUUUAGCAACCCAGUUUUCUCCAGCAAGAAAAACCGAUCUGGGUAAUUCGCGAGAAAAAGAUGAGAAGAUUGGAGAGCGACAAAAACCAGGGCUUUAUACAGAAAGAAACCUAGGACACAAAAUUCUGAGAACGCCGACACAGAGAAAAAAAAGCAGAAGAAUGAAAGAAGAAAAAAAUCGAAUCAGAAGCCGGAGCAACGAGGGCGCAUGGGCAAUCAGGGCAAAACAGUCAUUUUAUUGUUAAAAAACCUCAAAAAAUGGCACAAAAAGAAGCAUUUGGAGGGCAUUUUUGUCCGUGCACUGUUCAUGAACAAUGUACCCGAGUUUCGGUUUUAGUAUAGGAAUAAUUUAAAUAUAUUCCAUCAAGUAAAUAUUGUACGACAGGUGAGCUAUUCUCAUUGCGCCACGUCAUGACGCCAGUCUAUAACCCAAGUAUUGUUUUAUCAAUGAGCUGUUUUAUCUGUUCGUAGUAGUAGUUUUUUCAUAUCUUGUGUGCUGCAGUUUGUAGUUUGAAUGUUUGAUAUAUGUUGCAGUUUGUAGUUUGUUAAUGGUACAUUUCCCUACUUGAUGCAAGAUCGCACUUGAUGUACUCCUGAAAUUUUUGUUUAAGAAUGCAGGUGUUGUUGUAGGCAAAAACGUACUUAAUGAACUUGAACGCCUUAUGGAGGAUGUAAAUGGCGCAAUGCGAAUUGCAAUGGGAAAUUUACCCGACUUUCAGGAUGACAGUUUUGCGGACAUGUUGAAUGAAGAAGCAUGCAACGGUGACAAGGUAGUCUUUAUCCUUUUUUUCUUUUAUCCCAAGGAAUAUCUUCAUGUUGUUUGUACAUUCAGUUCUAAUAUGUUUCUCAUCUUUGUUUGUUUCUUCUCCUAGUAGAACUCUGUUCUAACCUUUGCACUCGUAUGCUAAUACUUCUCUAUAUUACUGAAUACCAAUGUUUACAAAAUCACAAAUCACCUUGCAUUGCACAGAUGACAAGUAUUAAUACUUGACUCGCAAGCUUAAGAACAUCUCUUAGAAACAGUUUGGUUUAACACUUGAAACAUUCUAGAAAACUUGAAUUGUUCUUAAAACUAACUUUUAAGAACAUCUCUUAGAAACUGUUUUUUUUUUUUCAAAAACGUGUUUGGCAUUGAACUUAAAAAUUAUUUUUGAAUCUAAAAAUUUGAAAACUUGUUUGGUUUAACUCUUGAAAAAAAAAAUCUUUUUUUUUCCAAUUAUGUAUUUGUUUUAAGAUAUACAAAACAUAUGAAAUUAAACCUCAAACAUACUAUUUUUAUAUUCAUGUGCUAAUACAACACAUAUAUGCUCGAUAAUCAAAUUAAACUUCAAGUCUUAGAUAAUAAAUAUUACAUUAAAACAUUCUAGAAAACCAAUAAACUUUGAGACUAAUUGUUAUUGAUGUAAUCAAGCCACAUUGAUCCGGCUAUGUGGUCUCUAACAUUAUUCAUAACAUUGUCGUCAUUCAAAUUCAUGUUUUCCCCUUCUUGAUUCGCCCCCAAGCUUUCUUCAUCUACCACAUCAACGUCAUUGUCUUCAAAUUGUUGAAACAAAUUAUCAUUCCUUGAUUGCAUUGUAAUGAAAUUGUGCACGGCACAACAUAACAAUUAGUCUCAAAGUUUAUUGGUUUUCUAGAAUGUUUUAAUGUAAUAUUUAUUAUCUAAGACUUCAAGUUUAAUUUGAUUAUCAAGCAUAUAUGUGUUGUAUUAGCACAUGGAUAUAAAAAUAGUAUGUUUAAGGUUUAAUUUCAUAUGAAGACUUUAAGCCACAAUUGUUUGUUCCUAACUUUAGCUACUUCAGCUACAUAACCGGAAAAAAAAAAUUAAUUUAAUUAUAGUUAACUAGUUUGGGUAUAUCUACCUUGCAACCCACCGCUCUUAAAUUAAACAACUAUUCUUUACACAGUUUAUUUAAUCAGUUUUUGAGUAUAAACAGUGAUGUCCUUGAUUAAAUAAUUAUGUCAAACAAAAUUAAGAGAAAAAUAUAACCGCCCAAUAAGUAACAACAAAACCUCUUCAUCCAUCUAGUUUACGCAUUCAAAGUCGGGACGAAGAUCACACACAUACAUACAAAACCAUACAAACACUUGACAAUGAGAACUUAGGAAGUACGUGAUGCCCUUAAUGUACUAAGCAUUAAAAGUAGAUACAGAAACCAGUCAUAAACACCAUCAGGAAGCAAUUUGUAAAGAUUAUAUUCCCCACUCAAACAAUGAAAGAUAAUAAAAAAAACAACAAUACCUUUUAUUCUAUUACAAUUUGAGCAUCCAACCCAAAACCAAUUGACAACGGCUGAAGACGCCCAAGAUCAUUCAAACUAUUUACGUAACGCUUCAAUUCCCGAAAUGGGAUUCACACCCUCGAAACAAUACCUACUCCAAGAAGCAAUAUACUCUCAAAAAUUUUCAACUUACUAAUUUUGUAAUAAACACAAAGAAAACUUGUCAUUUUCUCACUACCCCUUUUCUGUUCAUUUCAUUUUCACUAUAUUCCUAAUUAAACAAAACUACACAACCCAAAACCCAAACAAAACCCCAAAUCAAUUUGAAAAAAAAUUAGUCCAAAUGAGUUCAGCCCAUCCCUCUCUCACAUUCUUCUUUCCUACCUCUGUUUUCGUACCCCCUAAUCCUAAAUUUUUCUUCCAUCCCUUCUCUACUAUUUUUCUCUGACCAUCCGCGAAACCUGAACACCCCUCCUUUCCCCUCCUAGUUUAUUUCAAACGGCCUCCAACCUGAUUAUAUUACUUUGCAAUAUCCACCCUCCAACUUGAUGUACUUCUAGAUCUGUCAAAAAACUUACAAGCUUGGAUAAGCAUGCUUCAAAACCCUCCAAACCAGAAUAUAAUGGAAAUAAAAAUUUGGCCAAUUAAAAUUUUCACUAAAAAAAACUCCCCAUGUCUCUCGUUUACAAAAAGCAUAAAAAAAAUUGCAAAAUCAAAACCAUUGCCGCUAGAAACAUGCAACCCUUUCUUGUAAAGGACAGAUCAAAAGAGCAGAAAAAAAUUUCGAACCCAACCAAAUAGAAGCAGAAAUUAACAAAUCUUAACAGAUAAUCGAAGAAAAGCAAAGCAAAAACCUCAAGAUUUUGAACAACAAAACCAACAAAGAAAGAGGGUAACAGAUUUAAUUACCCAAAUCAAAACGCCAGCAGAAGAUGCGAUCUUUUAUGGGCUUCAAAUUUUCUUCAAAUCGAGACCAAAUUCGCUAUUUUUCAGCAAGAGAGCGUUGCCGCUUAAAACCGAUGAAAUAGCGGAUGAAGCGACCGAGAUGUUUACAACUGAAGAUAUCUUUAGCAACCCAGUUUUCUCCAGCAAGAAAAACCGAUCUGGGUAAUUCGCGAGAAAAAGAUGAGAAGAUUAGAGAGCGACAAAAACCAGGGCUUUAUACAGAAAGAAACCUAGGACACAAAAUUCUG